rnacentral:rRNA from 1 species
CCUACGGGGGGCUGUAGUCGAGAAUCAUUCACAAUGGGGGAAACCCUGAUGGUGCGACGCCGCGUGGGGGAAUGAAGGUCUUCGGAUUGUAAACCCCUGUCAUGUGGGAGCAAAUUAAAAAGAUAGUACCACAAGAGGAAGAGACGGCUAACUCUGUGCCAGCAGCCGCGGUAAUACAGAGGUCUCAAGCGUUGUUCGGAGUCACUGGGCGUAAAGCGUGCGUAGGCUGUUUCGUAAGUAGUGUGUGAAAGGCGCGGGCUCAACCCGCGGACGGCACAUGAUACUGCGGGACUAGAGAAAUGGAGGGGGAGCCGGAAUGCUCGGUGUAGCAGUGAAAUGCGUAGAUAU